UACGUAGGGUGCAAGCGUUGUCCGGAAUUAUUGGGCGUAAAGAGCUCGUAGGCGGUUCGUCGCGUCGGCUGUGAAAACCCGGAGCUCAACUCCGGGCCUGCAGUCGAUACGGGCGGACUUGAGUGUUGCAGGGGAGACUGGAAUUCCUGGUGUAGCGGUGAAAUGCGCAGAUAUCAGGAGGAACACCGGUGGCGAAGGCGGGUCUCUGGACCGAUACUGACGCUGAGGCGCGAAAGCGUGGGGAGCAAACAGG
rnacentral:rRNA from 1 species